AUUGAACGCUGGCGGCAUGCUUUACACAUGCAAGUCGAACGGUAACAGGUUAAGCUGACGAGAGGCGAACGGGUGAGUAAUGCAUCGGAACGUGCCCGAUCGUGGGGGAUAACGCAGCGAAAGCCGCGCUAAUACCGCAUACGAUCUGAGGAUGAAAGCGGGGGACCGUAAGGCCUCGCGCGAUCGGCGCGGCCGAUGGCAGAUAAGGUAGUUGGUGGGGUAAAGGCCCACCAAGCCGACGAUCUGUAGCUGGUCUGAGAGGACGACCAGCCCUGCUGGGACUGAGACACGGCCCAGACUCCUACGGGAGGCAGCAGUGGGGAAUUUUGGACAAUGGGCGAAAGCCUGAUCCAGCAAUGCCGCGUGCAGGAAGAAGGCCUUCGGGUUGUAAACUGCUUUUGUACGGAGCGAAAAGGUCCUUUCUAAUACAAGGGGCUCAUGACGGUACCGUAAGAAUAAGCACCGGCUAACUACGUGCCAGCAGCCGCCGUAAGAC
rnacentral:rRNA from 1 species